UCGAAAGCUUAAGGGGAAGUAAAGAGUAAGACAAACAUAGUGAGCUUAUUUUUCAGUAAUAGUAAGGAAACGGGAGCUAAACCCUAAUGCAGGGUAUAUAACUAUGGCAACCAGUACAAGAAAAGUCUCGUGUCUACACUGUGUCUACACCAGACGCAAACAGUGCGAUGCGACAAAAGCAAAUAGAACUCAUUCUAAUCAGUGAUGCUGUCUACACAGGAUGCGACGUGACAAAUUCCAGAUGGUAAACCGAUGCCCCGUUCUAUUCCUGACGUACUUCAAGAGUUUGUUCGAACCGCCAGCUCUAAGCGGGACUCGAACCCCGUUCUGCCUGCAUGGGAGUCGGGCACUCUAACAAGGAGGGUAAAGACCACAGUUUCUAGCGUCAGUUGCUAGAGCGCCUCUUGAGAUCAGCGGAGUGAGGUUUGCAGGCACAGCUCUUACCGGCCUACGUCCGAUAGACUCUCGCUUCUUCCCAUACUAUUACGAAGAACAAAUGUAUUUGCAAAGGUCACUUUGUCACAUCCGGUGUGGACAACUUCUAACUGUUGCAGGUGUAGACAUGGUGUAAGAACGAGAGCAGGAAGAAAGAAAGCUGAGCGCUAUCAUGUAAGUUAUAAGACACACCACGACUACACUCACAGACACAUUGAACAUUCAUUCAAUCAUAACAUUUAAUCUUAUCUUUGAAACACCUGAAGCGUAAGACCUGUUUCACACAGCACGCAUAGGCAGCACUUACUAUUACCAAAAGCUCGCUUUGUGCUUUGAGCUCAAUACUAUAAAUAAAAUUUUUUACACAGGGUUUUUAUAGUUAUAGUUAGAUUUACUGAAUAGAAAUGUCAUUUGUGUGCAUGUGGAAUCAAGUAUGACAUUUGUCUUUUUUCAAAAAAUCAUUUUUUGCUGCUAUAUUGCAAAAUAUUGUGUUGAUAAAUAGGUUUAUAUUGCAUUUUCAACAUAUUUUCUGUCCACUAAACACAGCAAAAAUAGGCUCAGCGUCGCACUGCUUACAUGUGCAGUGUGAAUCCUGUAACUACUGCUUACGCAUGUGUUGUGAAACAAGCCUAAAAUAACCUGUACAGCUCUUACUGAGCACUGAUUCUUAAUAAUACACUUUACUACCAUUAGUUUCUAUUAGACACACGCGUUAACACACAGGAUCGCACACUGGAGAUCUUUGCAAAACAUCUAAACUUUCAUUCAUUCAUCUAUCCAUCUUAUACAUUAUCUAGCUUGGUUAGCAGUCUUUCAGUUUUCACUGAAGCCCUGUUCUGCAAUGCAGCAAUGCACUGUGGGAUUGCAGCUGGUGUAGGAGCAUCAGAACUCACCAGUAGCACAGGAGGAAGCAAGCAAUGACCCAAGAGCCAGAUGGAGGGAAAGAGAUGGAAAAUGGAAAAACAAAUUAUAAAAAGAGGGAAUUUGAAACAUUGGAAGAAGUAGUGGAAAAAGAACAUAUGAAAGAGAACAUGAUCAGGAAGAAGAAAGUGUCAUCAAGCAGAAGAAACAGAUCAGAUGAGCACAGAAGAGAGUGAGUGAAUGAGAGAAAAGAGAGAGCAGAAUUAAGCAGCGAGGCAUUGGGAAGAAGGCUUUCUCAGUCCACGUAGAGCUGAGAUGAACAUAAACGCCACGCAUGAGAGAAACAGAUGGAAACACUGAUCUCAUCUCAACAUGUCAGUAUCACCACAACACAACUGAGAUGUAACGUGUCUAGACUCGAUAUACAGCGCACACACAUCACUACACUGACAUCAACACACAAAAAACACCUUUGCUUUGUUAAAAUGUCAUACAACCAGAGAAAAAAUGACAUAUAUAAAAAAUAGCUUAAUUUGAGUUCUCAGUUAUGUUUCAGUGAAUAAAUGUAGAUUGCAUAAAUAUAUUACAGACUUUGGCGAAUCUGAGCAUAUCUGAAAGACGUGAGAUUACAAAGUUCUUUUCUCAGAAUAAAGUCAGUGUAACGGAUUAUCAAAAAAAUGGGAAAAAAGUAGAGCAGGGACUUGGUUCUAGGCAUCAGUUUUUGAUUGGAUGUUGACUGAAUUGGAUGUUGUUGAUUGGAUGUGGGCGUGGCGAGAUUUCAGUGGCGGAGUUUAAGCAGACUAAAUGAUUGGAGAAGUCCUGCAUAUGUCACGAGAGAGAAGUCUUCACCAGUUAUGACAUUUUGAUUAACCAUUAAAAUGAAACAUACUGUGCAUGGACGCAUUAUUCACAAUAAGAUCUAUAACAUGUAUUUAAAAAAUAGGAUUCAUUUCAUGCUGAAUUUAAGUGCAUGAUCUAAUCUCAUUGCUUUCGUUGAGAAAAUACUGAGAUCUGAUUUGUGAUUUGUCUUUCCUAAGGGUAUGUGAACAUGCUGCAGUUUCCAUGCUAUGGACUAUGAAGAUUGUAAACGUGACUGUUUUGAACACCGGACAAACCAUGAAAAUGACAUGAAGAAAGAAGUCACGAGGGCUGCAGGAGACGUACCUGACAUCAGAUCUCCUCCUGCGCUUGCUGCGGCCGGAGGGGCUGGUUUGGCCUCACCAGCACCCGCAGAUUCUGAUCCAUCCACGCAGCAUGAGGGUAAAAAAGUCAGGGAAUCUCUCACAACUGCUGUCUGGUGUCCAUCAACCAUCAGAACAGCUUUAUUUCCCAAUAACAGAAUCCACAGCAACCAUCUGAGCAAGACAUGCAAAUCAAACCAUUGCAAAUCAUGCACACUUGGGUUGUUACCAACCCCCAAACAGGUCCAGAUUUGCCCCACUGUCUGGCCAGCUCAUGGGGGCAGAUAGAGCAGCGGCAGGAGGACGAAACACAUCUGGAGCACAUGAACGAGUUUUGUUGACAUCUAAAUGGUAACUUUAUGCAUCUAUCUAUGUAAAAGGGACACUAAAAUAUCACAACUGAACCCGUAAGAUUUAUCAGUUUUAGGUCAUAGACGAAGGCAGGUGAAUGAGAGAAAGCCCAAGGGAACAAGUGAAAAUAAAAAUGUCUCUAAGUGGGGAUAAUGUAACUAAUGGGUCUUGGAGACAGUUCAAGAAAACACAGACAGAGAGAUUGGGAAAGAAAAGGAGUAAAUGAAGGCCCAAGGGAGUGAGGGAGUGUGCCGGAUGGACAGUUCCAUCGACUGCCCUAGGAGGGAAGCAUAUUUGGCUCACCUUGAGCAGUCAAGGACAGAAUGGAGAAAAAAUAAUAUCAAGUGAGGCAGGGAAUGAGUGGAUGGAUGUACUGCAGCGUGUACCUGCUGAAAACAGGUCUAGACUGGGGUUAGGGUCUGAUUUGGGAACAGUUGAAUCUGGCAUGGGAUCAAAAAAACCUAAAAACAAGAUGACAUUUAUAAAGACAAACAUAAGCAAAUAAUAAUAAUACAAUACACAACACAAACCAAACCAAUCAAAAUGUAGGGAAAAAAAUAAGGUAAAGCAAAUCAAACUAAAUUUAUAUUUUUAAUUGUCGCUCUUAAAAGUCAAGGGGAAAAAAAAAAACAUAGUAGGAGAGGAAAAGAUUAUCACUCCAAAUUUUAAAAAGUGGGAAAUGCUAAAUUUCUGGCCUAAGGGGUUUACCAGCAAACAGGUCUAUCGUCGGUGCUGGGGAAGCAGUGGGGGCUACAUCGCUAGUGGAGGUGGAGACAGGUGCCUGGCCAGUAGUGGGCGCCACUGAGCUAAAGAGAGCAUUACUGUCAUCUACUGGCUGCAGGGAGAACAGGUCCAACUGAAGGGCGUUAUCAGCAGAACCUGCCGUUGGAGCGAAGGGAUCUAUAGUGGGUGAAGAGGGUGAACAUAAAACAUCUUCAAGGCUCCAAGACUGUUGUGAUUUAUUAUAUCGACAUUAUUUUGCAAAGCGCGAAUAAGAUAUUUUCUACGGAGCCCUGCAAAUGACAUGCAGGAAAUAAAUAGUAGGAUGAAUUGUGCGCACAAUAUGCUAAUUUGUUCCCUCGAUUUAUAAAUCAUGUGCACGAUUUACUAAUUCGUUCCCUUGAUAUAUUAAAUCAUGCACACAAUUUAUAACUCGAGGGAAUGAAAUAGUAAAUCUCCCACACAAUUUAGCAAAAUAGAAAACCAUGCAAUAUCAAACAGCGUAAUGGACUGUUUUUGUACUGUUAAAAUAACUAGAAGCGAAUGACACUGGAAGUCUUGCACAUUCAAGUUACAAAUAGCCGCACCUGCUCUUACAUUAAAAAUAAGGUGGAUAAAGUCACCCUGAGGAUGAAACUUCAGAGAGGGAAAAAAUGAGGAAGAAAAAACGAAGAAUUUUCUUUUCUCUGCGGAAGUUAGAGCUGAUUAUCUGUCAGAUACGCUGUCUGUCUAACAAGUCGACAUCUGCUUGUGCCCCCCAGAGAACCGAACUCCAAUGUUCAAAGACUAUUUCCCUAGCAACACAGAUAGCAAUCUCCACGGCAACACUGAUGCCAAUUCAGAACACUCAAGACUGACCAGAGGAGGCAGAGCCUGCAGAGGAGGCUCUAUGUGCUUCUUAAAACCGGUAAAUGAAAACAAUCACAAGCAAACACACUCGCUCUCUCACCCAUUAUGUACCGACAUUCUCACAUAUAUGUGCUUGAACUGUUGUCACCCACCAUUUGCUGCGGUGCCAUCGGCAGCAGGGGUGGGCGUGGCUGCUGAGGCCCCACCCUCCGCAGCAGCAGCUGUUUCAGCCGCAGGGGCCGCAAACAUGUCUGGAGUACCGCACACGAGGGCCAAAGGUUGACGGAUAAUAGCCAAAGAAAAGGGUGAAAGGAGGCAGAGGAAAUAGAAAGAGUAGAGAGCAUAGAAAGAAAGAAACGAUAGACAUCAGUGUCAUGCAAAUUUCAGGAAAAAAAGACCUUUUGCACAGAAAUAUUUUAAAUUAUGUCCUGCAUACUUAAAAUAACAUGCACUCUUAAAAAUAAAGACAGAACCUCUAACUUCCAUGGAACCUUCUGACCGCACAAAAGGUUCAAAAGGAAUGUUAUAGUGGAAAAAGGUUUUUUUUUUGACUGAAAGUUUCUUUGAGAAACUAAAAAUGGUUCUUCUAUGGCAUCACUCCAUAAACACUCUUUUGGAACCUUUAUUUUUAAGAGUGUACUAUAUAAUAAUUCUGACCAAUUUUGUUAAUAUGAAAUAUUCGUAACCCAUUUUACUUUAGUAACAUAGCAUAUUUCCAGGAUAUUCAACCAUACGAAAGUAGGAUUAAACUUGAUCUUAUCAAUGUAAAAUGCAUUACAUUUUUUUUUCUUUUUAACUCUUUCCCCGCCAUUGACAGAAUUUUCCAUCAUUUAUGAGACAACGCUUCCCUUCCGUUUUGAAAGGAUUUUCCAGCUUUCCAUGUUUUCACUGUUAUACAGUAGGGGGCGCUAUUACACAUCUUCUGAAAGAGUAGAGAAUCUCCAGAUCAAAACACAGACAAAAAAGGAGCAGAAACAAGUGAUAAAAGCAUUGCUUAUGCACGUUGUAGUUUUUGAAAAAAACAUGAUUUUCUCAGCUUUUUGUUCAAUAUGUAGCUUUUUUAUGAAAUGUAUCUACAUUCAAGUGUUGAAAAAGAAUGUAUGAAGCUAACAAAUUUUAAAGCAGAGGCUAUGUUCUAUAUAUAUAUAUAUAUAUAUAUAUAUGUUGCAUGUUCAGAUUUCAUACAAACAAAUAUUUUGGGAACCAUGAAAGUUAUCAAAAAUGCUGGUGGUGGCUGGCAACUUUUUAAAAAAAACGCUGGCGGGGAAAGAGUUAACAGAACUUGCUCAUGUAUUAUUGGAACAUGUAUUAGAAAGUAAAAUGGGUCGGUUUUGAUUUCAUGCUAACUUUAAACCUUUUUGCAUUCGCUGAAUGUAAAACUAAAUGAAAGCCUGAUUAAUCUUACUGUGCAGUCUGAAAAUGCAGCUACACAUAAGAAUAAUCAAAUGAUUAUAAUUCAUAUAUGUAAUUUUAACACAAGAUCUUGUGGAGCAUUGAUAGCAAAUAAAUGUCAAAUAAAAACUGCAGCAUGGAAGAUAUAAAGGAAAUGAGAAUAUCUAGAUUUCUACAGCAGACAGAAAUGGAUCAUUGAUGACUACAGACAUCACAAAUGCCACAAAUGAAACAGCACAAACUGUGAUUUUGAUCUGAUCUUUAAUUUCUGUGCUGGGAUGUUCCUCUAUUUCAGAAUGUGGCACAGCCUCUUCUCCCAGAAAAAUCUUCUUAAGGAAGAAACCUCACUACUGACCUCCGAGGAGAUCCGCUGAACCGGAGGAAGCACCGGCAGCGGAAGGAGGAGGAGCCAAAGAAACGGCUGCCUCAGCGGCUGUGGUGGUGGGCGUGGCUGAGGAGUUGGAGUCUACGGCAAGGGUUGGGUCAGACUGUACCUCCCCAAGACGUGGGAGCAGCUGAUGCUCCUCCUGCAGAAGGUCCAGAGGAAGACAACGGGUCCAGAUCCAGAAGAGAACUACAGAAGCAUGGUUACACUCACUCAGUGGCAGUUUCGGCAGCAGGCGCGGCCUCGGUGCGCGGCGGCUCCAAAGUGGGGACGGCAGCAGCAGAUUUGGCGGGAGUGGAGGUUGGAGACACGUUAUUGGACACGGAGCUCGAGGGCGACACGAAGAUGCUUUGUAGCCUCUCCGUCCUGUCUAAAUGCAGUUGAUUUUCCUUCUGUCUUCUGUGCUUCUGUCUCUCCCUCUCAGUUCCAGACCACACCACCCACAUAAAGACACUUCAGGAAUUGCAACUAGUAGCAAGCAACCUCACUGAGUAGAAGCCAUGCAUAUACACUACGCGUUGGCCUGCGGUGUGGUGCUGAAGUGGACAGCGCCAGGUCUGAGUGAGACUGAACGCGUCGAGGAAUGAGGGUGAGUCAAAAAUGUCUCACUUACAAUCCAGGUGCUUCUUCUUGGGCGCCAUCACCUCGUGCGUGGUGGCUUUGCAUACGGCGCGAGCCACAUCGGAUCCGGUGAGCUGGUACUGCGCCGCGGCGAUGCGAUCCGUCAGAGUCUGUCCCGACAUUUUCUCCCGGUAGCGUCGACAACCACCUCAAGAAUCAACUUCAGGGGGAAGGACAGUCGAAAUGCAUAUGAUAUUCGCCGACAAAAAAAAGAGACGGAAUCCAAGGUGGCUUUUUAGAAACCGACAAUGUCAAUUUCUCCUUUUGGUUUCCAACCAGAGCGCAUGAAAUGGUGUUCAAAAGCACAAAAAUAUAUUUAAUUCUACAAAACGUGGAGUCUAUGAACGGGUUGGUUUCAGCACCAUGGAUAAUGCCACUAUUACGUAACGCCCUACGCCGAGCUAUUUUCUGGCUCUCGUAGGAAAUAAUUAAUCAAAUUAAUACAGCAAACUGUCACCUUUGAUUAGUAUAUGCAUUAAAAAAACCCAUCUAACCGAAAUAACAGAGCGUUUUGCGUUAAACUGGUCCUUUUUUCAAUUGAAUUAAAGAAAUAAACGCAUGAAAACCAGUUGUAAAUACGUUCCGUUGGUUAAUCCUUUACUAUAAACCUGUUCGGGAUUCCGGAGCCUCGGUAAUAUUCGGUCAAAGCCCGUGUGUCCUUCCCGUCGGGUCGGAUGAUGAUGGUGCUGAUGACGUGUCUUUUUCAAGCCUUUUCAAGGGCGAGGGUAUGAAGACACGUUAUUGUUCACGUUUCAGUGAUAUAUCGUGUAGAUCUUGAAUAUUCAGUUG